GGAUGUGAGGACAAUCUGGCUGUGACAUCUGUCUCCCUAUUGAUGGCCAGGGUUGAUUUGGCUGAUCUGGCUGGCUAGGCAGGUGUUCAUUCUUCCCCCAAUGCUUUGCUUGUCCCACCAGAAGCUGCAUGCUCCGUCAAAGAGGAUGACAACCUCCAGUAGAGAAGGGCAGUCCGUUAUGGUCAACUCAUGGUCAAGAGCAUAUGAGUAGCUGUGUUCUCCUGCAAGAACCUCCAAACCAGCUCUCUAGAAAAUCACAGAAACAACCACAGCUUCAAGAAGAACAACCAAAUGGAGAAAGUAAUU
rnacentral:snRNA from 1 species